rnacentral:rRNA from 1 species
UACGGGGGGGGCAAGCGUUGUUCGGAAUUACUGGGCGUAAAGGGUUUGUAGGUGGCCUGCUAAGUCAGACGUGAAAUCCCUCAGCUUAACUGGGGAACUGCGUCUGAGACUGGUGGGCUCGAGGACAGGAGAGGAACGCGGAAUUCCAGGUGUAGCGGUGAAAUGCGUAGAUAUCAGGAGGAACACCGGUGGCGAAGGCGGCCCUCUGGACGGUGACUGACGCUGAGACGCGAAAGCGUGGGGAGCAAACAGG